GGCUGGAAUUAAAGGCAUGUGCCACCAAUACCUGGCAGGUACUUUCUUUUUAAUUUGCAAAUUUAGGAUUACAUAUGAUUUUUGAAAAGGAUGAAUUGGAUAGUUGUUUGAAAGUUGAGAUCUUCUACUUUCCCAAGUCCUCAGUUUUUCUUCUUUGUUUGGAAGCAGGAACUAUUCCCUUCAUCAUUCUCGGGUCACCCUUCCCCACCAGACAUGCAAAAUAAGACCAGAUUUGUUAGCAAGCUAAGCUGCAUGGUCUUCUUUCUUCUAAUUUCGUUUCCUUGACUUGCAGAAUCUGCAUAUCGGUCUAUGAAAUGCCUUUUUACUGGGCUGGAAGUAUCAUAUGCUUCCACCAAAUAUGGGAAUUGGAAAUAAUUGAGACUUGUGAACCUGGAAGAAAUACAGCACAGGUUAUAUCUCAUUGUAAUGACUACUGACUUGUUUGGGUGACUUUGAGACACCAAUUAUUGUGACUUGAUUUUUGGUCUUGUACAGUGGAAAAUUAUCAAAGCUUGUUAAUAGCUCACAUGUGGCUGUCAUAGUAUGACUAAUUGAACCCUGUGUAUUUGGUGGGUGAAAAUUCCAAAGGAGUCAGUUGAGAGUUGCUGCAUGGAGGAUACUCAUUGCAUUCAUGUUUAUUGGGAUGCUGUGUCCAGCAAUAUGCUGGAACUGAAGUGGCACAGAGGAGCCAUUAAUCUUUCGAAAAUUAUGUUUUUAGUGAAGACAGGUAAAACCAAAGAGGCAAAUAAUUGAAAUAAUUACAGGUUAUUAUAAAUGGUAUAAGCACAUAAAAUAAAGACUAAUUGAUGAGAUGGAGUUUCAUAUUAAAUGGGAUUAUAAAUAUACUUUUUAAUGCUGGAUAGAAUAUCUAAAAAUUCUGAGCAGGCCAGAGUUGAGUGAUGUGUGUGUGUGUGUGUGUGUGUGUGUGUGUGUGUGUGUGUGUGUGUGAGUGUGUGUUUAGGUAGGUGGGAGAGAGUGGCAGGAAGAAUGAAAGGAGUUUGAUUGGUUUUUAAUGAAUUAUGUGGCUAAGGAACCUGGCAAGUUCUAUGUCUUCAGGGUGGGCUGCUUGACUGGAAACCAAGGAAAGACUCAGUGUUAUAGUCUUGCCAGAAGGCUGUCGACUGGUAGAGAUCUUUCUUCUCCAAGCCUUUGCUAAAUUCAAGACUUGAAUUGUUCAGCUAUGGCUUACCCACAGCAGAAGACAAUCUGCUUCACAUUAAGUCCAUCACUUUGUAUAUCAGUCUCACACAAAGAGUACCCUUAACAAACACCUGCAAUGAUCUUUGACCAAUAUUUUAGCACAGUGGUCCAGUUAACUUGACAUACACAAUUAACCUUCACAAGAACUUACCUUCUGCGGUUCUGUUCUUAUUUCCUCCAGUGAAUUUGUCAGAGAGAGGUUGUGAAAAGGUUGCCACUAAAAACCUUUAUUAGAAAAAUGUUCAGUCAUACAGGAAAGUAGAGAGAGAAUGGUACACAGACCCAUGUGCCUGUCACCCACUGCUCACUCUCAGUAACAGUGAUGAUUCAUUUCUGAAUUAUACCCUCUGUCUCAAGUUCUUUCUCUCACUUUCCCCAAGAGGCGAUGCUCCCUUAAAUUCCUCAUUCCUUAUUUCUCCUUUCUUGUAACUUAGAAAGCAGGCUGUACUCAUCCAGGCCGUGAACUGGAUUGUGUGUGUGUGAACACAUUUAUGUGUGUGCGCGUGCGUGUGUGUGUGUGUGUGUGUGUGUGUGUGUGUGUGAACAGGCACACAUGUACAUCUCCAUGUAUGUAGGCAUGUGGGUGUGCGUUCAUUUGCACCUAUAUGUGUAUAGGUGGUGCGUGUCUGUGCAUAUGUGUGUAGUUCAGAGGACAGCCUAACUUUCAGAAGUCAGUUCUCUCCUUCCUACAUGUGGGUCCUAGGGACUGAACCGAGGCCUUCAGGUGCCUCUACCAGCUGAGCCCUCUUGCCUGUCCUUACCUUGACUCUUUUCUAGAAAGAUCUUCAUCUCCAUUUGGGGUUUGUUGUUGUUACUUAAUUACGAAUAUUAAAGAAAAUCCCUAAAGGCACACACAACUGUGACAAACAUAGAAGCCUUAUGAUUAGUUAGCCAGAUUUGAACUACUUGAUAUUUACUUUCUCCAAAUGAAAAUAAAAAGCUAGCUAGCUGGGGGGGCCGAUUGCUCAUGAUGUAUGCUCUUUGGAAUGAGUCCUUUCAGCAGGGAGUGCUUGUUUUAGGUUAUGUAAAGAACGUCUUUGAUCUUUCUAAGUCACUUUGUUACACUCUGUUCCCUAGACAGUAACACUCAUGACAGCUGGACUUCACGCCUCGUUGUUCUAGGUCAGAAACCUUCACAAUGCUUGUAGAUCGUACUUUUCCUAUACUUUGCCUUUGAGGUUAAAUUCCUAACUCAUAUUAGUUCCACUUAGAAUUUUCCCAUGGAAGCUGGACCUGCUUCAACAGUAUAUAUCCUCUGUGAGAUUUUGUUCAGAGUGAAGGCUGACAGGAAGUACCCUUCUCAUGUGACACAGGGAUUUCUGGUCAUUACCUGCUUCUUUGCAGGACGCAGGGAACACUACAGUUCUGUUUGGAACGAGGGGCUAAUAGUUAGCUUGUAGAUUCUCCUUCCUCCCAGGAAGUGGGCACGAGGCCUGAUUGAGUGUGAGUCGGACCAUGUGAAUGGAAGAUCAGAGAACUGUUUGAUGCCUUUAGCAAGCCAUAACUCUGUGACGUUUUUGUGAGAAACUGGAAGACUUGAAAGAGGAAGAGAGGGAAAAGGCAACUGGCAGGCAUUGUGGGAGUAAAAUAGAACUAUAGCUAGCAUUUUAUUUUAACUGAAUAGAUGUAAUGAUUGUGUGUGUGUAUGUGCAUAUGUACAUGUAUGUAUACUUGUUUUAACUGAAUUGAUGCAGUGUUUGUAUGUGUCUAUGUGUAUAUAUACAUGUAUAUGAUGUAUAUUUAUAACGUAGUAUAUGUGUAUAUUGAUAUGAGGCCAUAUGUAUAGUUACUUAAGAGACAUUUGGCCCUAAUAUCAUACUCAGAAAACAGUGCUUCUCAGUUCUCAUGUGGAAUUCUCUGCUAGUGGCAUGGAGAAUGUAAAAGCAGUCUUUAAAUGUUCUUUGGGGCCACCUUGUCUAAGCAGACCCGAGAGACAUUGUGUACCCCCUGCCUAGCCUACUUCUGUUUGUAACCACAAAGAUCCCAUUAAGGCUGCUGAUUCUGAUGGGAUCUCAGGGGAAUCUGAUUAUUAAUGCUUGCCAGACACAAAAGCAUUGACAUUGUCAUGUUAUUAGCGUCACUAUCCUAAGAGCCCAGGCAUCAAGGACGCCAGGAAACCUAAUCUUCAUAACUGCUAAUGAAGGAGAUAAAAUGUGUAGCAAUAGUCAUUUCAGUAAUGACCGAUUUUACUAUCUGCUUGGGUUGAAAGCUCGAAUAAACAACUGAGAGGAAACGAUGGGAAAAACACCAAAUAGUGGUUAGCAUUGAUUUAGUUUGAGAGUUUCAGUUGAUACCCUCAUUCAGAGACAUGAGGGGGUCCAGGAUGGAUGAGACUGUAGAACUGUGCCCUUUGACCUUGUAGAACAUAUAUUCAAUGGGUUAGCAAUUGUGAUGGAAUAGAUUUCUGCUUAUGCAUGAAAAUUUCAUUAGAUGAAAGAUUCAUGUUUCCCUCAUUGCAAACCUAAUGGAAGGAGGUUAAAACCUGUUGUAUAAUUGUUGGUCAUAGAGUGUCUUUCAGACGCAGACCAACAUCUGUGUUGUCUAUAUCAGUGACAAUGGGAACGGGGCUCACUGAGACUCUAGGCACAAUAUGAACAUCAUCUUCAGAAAACAGCUUGUUCAGCCAACAGUUUGAAAAUAGUGUAAAAUAAAAAAAACUUAUUUGUAGUUUUGAUGGCUUCUUGAUUAAACAAAUCUGAUUCAUGAAGGAUGUUCUGAAUACAGUUCAUUUUGAUCCAAAACUUAUUUCUUGACUAGUUGCUAUCAUUAACUCUAUUUGGCAAGUUCCAGAAAUUUUAAUAAGUUAAUUUAUCUGUAUCAUAGAUAUAUUUGACCCAAAUGAUGUGUUGGGUAUCAACAGCAAUAACAAACCGAAAGAAUGGGGCAGCAGGAAGCUUCCCCAAAUUCCGUAGGGAUGCUAUGUUCAUGGACUAUCAGGCUGGCUGCUGUGCUUCUACUACUUUGGGGAAGAAAUGAGACCCUCCAUACAAGUCAUCACUGCUUAUAGAUCUAGGAAUGGCACUUAGUACCUCAUCUGUUUAGGGAUACUUAGCAUUGUUUCUUGUUUUAAAAUUACUUAUUAUGGUGCAGGUGAUAGAACCCAGCAUGCACAGGGAUGCAUCCCACACUCUACCUGAUACCUUGAGGAAUAUCCCCCAUCCUUUCCUAAACCUUUCAUAAAAAAAAAAAAACAAAAAAAACAAAAACCCAAA